rnacentral:piRNA from 1 species
UACUUCUACAAGGGCACCAAAUACUGGA